rnacentral:rRNA from 1 species
UACAGAGGGUGCAAGCGUUGUUCGGAAUUAUUGGGCGUAAAGGGCGCGUAGGCGGUGCGGUAAGUCACCUGUGAAAUCUCCUGGCUCAACUGGGAGCUUGCAGGCGAAACUGCCGUGCUGGAGUGUGGGAGAGGUGCGUGGAAUUCCUGGUGUAGCGGUGAAAUGCGUAGAUAUCGGGAGGAACACCUGUGGCGAAAGCGGCUCACUGGACCACAACUGACGCUGAGGCGCGAAAGCUAGGGGAGCAAACAGG